GACGAACGCUGGCGGCGUGCUUAACACAUGCAAGUCGAACGGAAAGGCCCUGCUUUUGUGGGGUGCUCGAGUGGCGAACGGGUGAGUAACACGUGAGUAACCUGCCCUUUACUUUUGGAUAACUUCAGGAAACUGGGGCUAAUACCGGAUAGGAGCUCCUGCUGCAUGGUGGGGGUUGGAAAGUUUCGGCGGUUGGGGAUGGACUCGCGGCUUAUCAGCUUGUUGGUGGGGUAGUGGCUUACCAAGGCUUUGACGGGUAGCCGGCCUGAGAGGGUGACCGGCAACAUGGGGACUGAGAUACGGCCCAGACUCCUACGGGAGGCAGCAGUGGGGAAUAUUGCACAAUGGGCGGAAGCCUGAUGCAGCAACGCCGCGUGCGGGAUGACGGCCUUCGGGUUGUAAACCGCUUUCGCCUGUGACGAAGCGUGAGUGACGGUAAUGGGUAAAGAAGCACCGGCUAACUACGUG
rnacentral:rRNA from 1 species